AAAGGAAUAGACGGGGACCCGCACAAGCGGUGGAGUAUGUGGCUUAAUUCGAUGCAACGCGAAGAACCUUACCAAGGCUUGACAUGGAUUUCUAAGCACGUGAAAGCGUGUGACCCUUCGGGGGACUUCCACAGGUGCUGCAUGGCCGUCGUCAGCUCGUGUCGUGAGAUGUUGGGUUAAGUCCCGCAACGAGCGCAACCCCUGUGAUUAGUUGCCAGCACGUAAUGGUGGGGACUCUAGUCAGACUGCCCAGAUCAACUGGGAGGAAGGUGGGGACGACGUCAGGUCAGUAUGGCCCUUACGCCUUGGGCUGCACACGUACUACAAUGCCCAGCACAAUGAGAACCGAGACCGCGAGGUGGAGGAAAUCUGUAAAACUGGGCCCAGUUCGGAUUGGAGGCUGCAACUCGCCUCCAUGAAGCCGGAAUCGCUAGUAAUGCUGCAUCAGCUACGGCAGCGUGAAUACGUUCCCGGGUCUUGUACACACCGCCCGU
rnacentral:rRNA from 1 species